GAAUGUUUAGAUUACUAAAGUAGUGAUCUAAAAACUUAUAUUUCUUUAAAAAGGGAGUAUAUGUUCGGUGGAAGAUGGUCAACUGAUUCAUCGGUACUUCAGCACAAACAAACAAGAUAUCAUUAUAUCCUAGUUUCCAGGUUUCUCUUCCCGUGUAAAAGAGAAAUCUCCAGCAAAUUUAAAGGAGUGCCAAGCUAUUUAAUUUUAAUUUUAACUACAACAGCCACACACGGUUCAGAUUAACAUAGCAGCAAACUAAACUUAGAGCAGUUUCCAAGAACACCAGCCACUCACUUUGACUUGCACCAGAUAUUAUUAACCAACCAGACAGCAUUCUAUGCAGAGCCUUGAGUUGCCUGCAUGUCGCCCUGCUUCAUGCCUGGCAUCCUUAUCAAUACAUCUCUCCUGUUUUCAUGUAAAAGCUACAAGUUAGCAGACUGGAAGGCCCAAUGGAUGGCUAUAAAACUGACUCCAUUUAUAUUUUGAUGAUCUGUCCACACAACAAACUUUCUAAUUCUUGUUGUAAUUGCCAGGAUAGAGUUGAGUGCUCCUACUACUGUGCAUACGCAGUUGGUAGUUGCUCAUCAAGUUAGUCAGUUUUGUCAAUUAAUUGCCAAUGGAUCAAGUCUUACUUGAAACUCAACAAUGCAUACAUCCAUCCACUUACUUCUGAUAAGGAAGAACCAGCCAUAGAAAUAAAGAGAUCUGAUUUCAUCGGAAAAAUAAACAUUAUUUAGUGAUGAGUGUACGGUCCUUGGGAGGUGAGGUACCAUAAAACCAACAGGUCCAACUUUGACAUCCAAAACGGACAGGGUAAAGUCAUACAUACAUAAUUCAAGUGCACAUUUAGCGGACUGGCACGCCCAAUGGAUGCUCCCAUUUAUAUUUGAACUGUCCACAAAACAAACUUUCUUGAUCAAACUAAACAGCUGCUCCUAGUGCGCAACUGUUACUGCUAUUGAGUGGAAUGCAAUUACAAACCUAGUUGCUAUCUGUUUCGUCAAUUAAUCGACAAUGACUAAAGUCUACUGGAAACUCAACUGUUUAUACAUACAUCCACUUACUUGUACUAUGGCAGAACCAGGCAUAGAAUUAACAAUAUCUGAUUUCAUCAGAUGGAAAGGUUGGCACAGGAAGAAGAGUAUGUUCAAGCUAGUGGUACUACAAGGAUUGAGGGAGGGAACAAAAUUAUCUAGUGAUGAGUGUAUGGUCCAAUUUGACAUCCAAAACAAGGUAAAUCAUAAAAACUUAUAUAUACCAGGUCCAAUUUGACAUCGAAAACAAAACGGGUAAAGUAAUAUGCGAUUCAAGCUAGCAAGUGCAUAUUCAAGGAUAAAUAAAUUGCAGAAGAAGAGACCUUUCUGUUGCUUGGCCCAGGCAGACUUGACCAUCUCGUUGUACUCGGUGAUGUUAACUCCGUUGGGAAAGGCCAGCAAUUUCCGUUUCUCCUCGGCUGUAAAGUCUGCGAAACAGCUUACCUGUGGAAGCACACCACUCUCCUCGACGGACGGGAGCUGCGAUUCCAUCAUCUAGAGGGCGGCCUUGAACAAUUCGAACCGCAUAGCCUUCUCUUCCUCAUCUCGGUAUGUCUUUUCGUGCUCGAUGAUCCAACUCUCAAACCUCUGCUUCAUGUCCGGCUUCUUAAACUUGACCUUGUGGUUCAGCUUGCCAGCAGCAGCUACACAAGAAGACGGGACAGGUAUGAGGUGGUGGUUCCUGACAUGAAACGCAGCUAACGAAGAGGAGGAAUCUACCUGAUGCAUCAACACCUGCGCCUUGCUUGAAAUGCAGAAUCACCAACCCCCACCACCACCAGCCAUCAGACCCGCGGCAAAAACAUAAGCAC
rnacentral:lncRNA from 1 species